rnacentral:rRNA from 1 species
UUGGAUUCGUCUCGGGGGGGAGAGUGGCGAACGGGUGAGUAACACGUAGGUGACCUACCCCAAAGUGGGGAAUAACCACUGGAAACGGUGGAUAAUACCCCAUGUGGUCUGUCUAGUACAGAUUAAAGUUCCGGCGCUUUGGGAGGGGCCUGCGGCCCAUCAGGUAGUUGGUAGGGUAAUGGCCUACCAAGCCGAUGACGGGUAGGGGGCGUGAGAGCGUGAUCCCCCACACUGGCACUGAGACACGGGCCAG